UAAUUUCAGAAACAAUACCAGCUUCCAGGAAUAAGUAUUUAUGAGGUAAGUAUUUAUGCAUUGUCAAGGAUCUUGUGGAAUGAUUUAAUGGCAUAUAUUCUGUUCAUUCAUUUUAUUGUUUCUGGGCUCUGACCCCAAAUGUGGCCAAAGUGUUUAUGGGAGGUGUCAUGAGAACGAUUCUCCCCAUAGCUAAAAACAUACAUUUGAGGAUUAUCACAGACUCCAAAGUCAUGCUGAGGUAAAGGAAGCCAAUACUCUAUUAUAAUUGUAAAGACAGAUGGAGGCAAUGGGAAGCCUUUGUGCCAGCCAUGUUCUCCUGGCUUUACAGAUGGUGCGAAGAGGUGAAGAACGUGCCACUCCGAGGCCAGACCAUGGAGCCGGAGGCCUGCGCAGCCCCUGACCGGCCUGCGACUCCCUCCUGCCCAGAUCCCUCUGACUGUGAGCCUCACUUGCCAUAUUUGUGGAAGAGACGACAGCAGGACUCCCCAAAGGUUGCUUGAGAACUGGAGCUGAUCUGGAAAAUGUUAACAGUUCCACCUAAUGCAUGGAUCCGUAAAGGCCCAAGAUGGGGAGCAUUAGGACUGACCUUCCUGUGCCUGGCCGCCCAGCUGCCAUCACCCCACCGAUGAGGUGUGCCCCUUGCAAUCGGGCUUCCAUGACCAUGUGCAGACAUGCCUGCAGCAGCAAAGAAUUCCAGUUCCUGACACACACACGUCCAGAGAAGGAGGAACAAGGCACACCUAGCCUUCUCAUGUCAGCUCUCACCCUGCAGGAAACAAUGAGCUGAUAAACGAGGUGGCAAUUCCAUCACAGCGACAUCGCAGGUCAGGAAUCAGCAACCUUUACUCUCUCUGUGUGUGCUGAGCAGCAGCAUCUGGGCAGGCUCUCCCCAAGCACCAGGUGAAACCUCAGCCCAGACCCGUGAGGGUCCUUGACUCUGAACAAGAAAGAAUUCUCAAGCAGGUUGGGCAA